AUUGAACGCUGGCGGCAGGCUUAACACAUGCAAGUCGAGCGGAGCGAGGGUGCUUGCACCUUAGCUUAGCGGCGGACGGGUGAGUAAUGCUUAGGAAUCUGCCUAUUAGUGGGGGACAACAUUCCGAAAGGGAUGCUAAUACCGCAUACGCCCUACGGGGGAAAGCAGGGGAUCUUCGGACCUUGCGCUAAUAGAUGUGCCUAAGUCGGAUUAGCUAGUUGGUGGGGUAAAGGCCUACCAAGGCGACGAUCUGUAGCGGGUCUGAGAGGAUGAUCCGCCACACUGGGACUGAGACACGGCCCAGACUCCUACGGGAGGCAGCAGUGGGGAAUAUUGGACAAUGGGCGGAAGCCUGAUCCAGCCAUGCCGCGUGUGUGAAGAAGGCCUUUUGGUUGUAAAGCACUUUAAGCGAGGAGGAGGCUACUAGUAUUAAUACUACUGGAUAGUGGACGUUACUCGCAGAAUAAGCACCGGCUAACUCCGUGCCAGCAGCCGCCGCCGU
rnacentral:rRNA from 1 species